rnacentral:rRNA from 1 species
AUUGAACGCUGGCGGCAGGCCUAACACAUGCAAGUCGAGCGGAUGACGGGAGCUUGCUCCUUGAUUCAGCGGCGGACGGGUGAGUAAUGCCUAGGAAUCUGCCUGGUAGUGGGGGACAACGUUUCGAAAGGAACGCUAAUACCGCAUACGUCCUACGGGAGAAAGCAGGGGACCUUCGGGCCUUGCGCUAUCAGAUGAGCCUAGGUCGGAUUAGCUAGUUGGUGGGGUAAUGGCUCACCAAGGCGACGAUCCGUAACUGGUCUGAGAGGAUGACCAGUCACACUGGAACUGAGACACGGUCCAGAAUCCUACGGGAGGAAGCAGUGGGGAAUAUUGGACAAUGGGCGAAAGCCUGAUCCAGCCAUGCCGCGUGUGUGAAGAAGGUCUUCGGAUUGUAAAGCACUUUAAGUUGGGAGGAAGGGCAGUAAGCUAAUACCUUGCUGUUUUGACGUUACCGACAGAAUAAGCACCGGCUAACUCUGUGCCAGCCGCCGCAGUAAGAC